UACGAAGGGGGCUAGCGUUGCUCGGAAUGACUGGGCGUAAAGGGCGCGUAGGCGGUUUGGACAGUCAGGCGUGAAAUUCCUGGGCUUAACCUGGGGGCUGCGCUUGAUACAUCCAGACUUGAGUGGGGAAGAGGGUCGUGGAAUUCCCAGUGUAGAGGUGAAAUUCGUAGAUAUUGGGAAGAACACCGGUGGCGAAGGCGGCGACCUGGUCCUUUACUGACGCUGAGGCGCGAAAGCGUGGGGGAGCAAACAGG
rnacentral:rRNA from 1 species